CGCGUUGGUCGUUCGAGACCCGUGUGAACGAUGUGACAUAUGCACGGUGUCGUUUUAUUCAAUGACUGUUACUACGACUACCACUACUACCACUACUACUAACACGACUACUACUAUAUCGCCGCGUUAAUGUAACCCGGACUGCGGGAUUACAAACGCAAGGACUCGAAGAUCUGCGUGUUCUCCGUGGUGCAGGGGUCGAUGACACAGGUCUCAAUCGACAUCGAGGAGCCUUCCGGCAGUGAACAGCAUUUUUCUAGAAUCUGAGAAAACCUCGAAGACAGGUGAUCGCGGGGGUGCAGCGGAUCUAAAAAAUUCGCAAAACGGCGAUGCUGACGCGCUGUCCGUUGAUGACUUUGGCAAAACGGAGCAACAUCGUCGAACUUCGGAGUCUGGUAAGUUUGGUAUAACACGCGUAUUCGUAAUCACGCACAUAUUUUCCGUGUUACAUCUGAUUACCUAUCGGAGAC